GACAGAGGGGGCAAGCGUUGCUCGGAAUUACUGGGCGUAAAGGGCGCGUAGGCGGUUUUGCAAGCCAGAGGUGAAAUGCCUGAGCUCAACUCAGGAAUGGCCUUUGGGACUGCGAGGCUUUGAGGACUGGAGAGGUGAGUGGAAUUCCCAGUGUAGAGGUGAAAUUCGUAGAUAUUGGGAAGAACACCGGUGGCGAAGGCGGGUCUCUGGGCCGUAACUGACGCUGAGGAGCGAAAGCGUGGGGAGCGAACAGG
rnacentral:rRNA from 1 species